rnacentral:miRNA from 1 species
GUGCUGCAUCUCUGGUCAGUUGGGAGUCUGAGAUGAAGCACUGUAGCUCGGGAAGGGAGAAGUUGUUCUACAGC